UACGGGGGGGGUAAGCGUUGUUCGGAAUUACUGGGCGUAAAGGGCUCGUAGGCGGCCAACUAAGUCAGACGUGAAAUCCCUCAGCUUAACUGGGGAACUGCGUCUGAUACUGGAUGGCUUGGAUCCGGAAGAGGGAUGCGGAAUUCCAGGUGUAGCGGUGAAAUGCGUAGAUAUUGGGAGGAACACCGGUGGCGAAGGCGGCAUCCUGGACCGGUAUUGACGCUGAGGCGCGAAAGCCAGGGGAGCAAAGCGGG
rnacentral:rRNA from 1 species